rfam:Streptomyces cellostaticus strain DSM 40189 genomic scaffold PRJNA299219_s012, whole genome shotgun sequence.
CUUGAGAGAACCCAGCCACAACGGGUUGUCGUCCCCACGGGCCUGGCCGUAAGCGGACAGCAGCGCCUGCGCCUC